rnacentral:rRNA from 1 species
AGUGAACGCUGGCGGUAGGCCUAACACAUGCAAGUCGAACGGCAGCACAGUAAGAGCUUGCUCUUACGGGUGGCGAGUGGCGGACGGGUGAGGAAUACAUCGGAAUCUACUUUUUCGUGGGGGAUAACGUAGGGAAACUUACGCUAAUACCGCAUACGACCUACGGGUGAAAGCAGGGGAUCUUCGGACCUUUCGCGAUUGAAUGAGCCGAUGUGGGAUUAGCUAGUUGGGGGGGUAAAGGCCCACCAAGGCGACGAUCCGUAGCUGGUCUGGGAGGAUGAUCAGCGACACUGGAACUGGGACGCGGUCCAGACUCCUACGGGAGGCAGCAGUGGGGAAUAUUGGACAAUGGGCGCAAGCCUGAUCCAGCCAUACCGCGUGGGUGGCGAAGGCCUUCGGGUUGUAAAGCCCUUUUGUUGGGAAAGAAAAGCAGCCGGCUAAUACCACGCUGUUCUGACGGUACCCAAAGAAUAGGCACCGGCUAACUUCGUG